AAGAGGUUGCGUGAGGCCACAUUUGUGGUGACCAUUCAUUGAGUCCGCAGCGCGUACGGCUUAGAUAGUGACUGUUCAUUGCAGCGUAGGCAGUGAACAGACAAAUGGAUUUUGGAAAAAAAGAAGUUUUCGAACGCUACUUAUUUAUUCAUAAUUCAGUGGCUUUGGACCUCCACGUGGUGUUGAGAGGUUGUGUUAGAUUAGCAAGAUAGGCGGAAAAAAGAAGCGCGCUGUUAUCCCCCAAGCUGGCCAAUUUAGCCUUUCUACAAGAGGUCUGGUAGAGGAUUUAUACAUACAUACAUACAUAUAUUAUACAAACAGGGCGUACGCCAAAGUUGAAAGAGUAACAAAUAUAUUAUAUGUACAUAUCUUU
rnacentral:lncRNA from 1 species